GAAGAAAGGUGACUCCCAGGGUCUGGGUCAGGGAAGGGUUUUGGACAGGAAAAGGGACUCACAACAGGGCAUGCUUGGGAGGAAUUGUUUAAGGCUUUCAACCCUUGCCAAGGCGAAUAACACGAGACAAGACCUGUAGUUACUUUAGCUAUAUAUAGUAUAUCUAGUGUGUAACCUCAAAAUGCCUCCCCUUGCAGCAUUUAUGCUGUUGAACUUACAGUGAGUCCCUCUGUGGAGGGUGGAGUAGGGGAAGGAGUUCUGCUGGGGACAAAGGUGGGGAAGCACUCCCUAGCUUUGAAGAAUUUCCUGCCUUUUUAUGCCUGGGAUGUAACCAGAGACCAGUGUCAACAAGGAAUCUGGCUCAGGAAUGCUUUGGUCCAGAGCCCUCCUUGGAGGUGACUUGCUCUUUCAGAGGUAGCUCCAGAAGAACCCUAGGAGCCUUGCCUAUGACUCUAUGAUGGGGCUUGCUAAACACUAUACACAGCAUCCCUAUCUGUCACAGAUCCUCUAGUAUCAUUGGAUCGGCAGAUCAUAUGAGCUAAGGGCACCUGGCAUGGCAGCUUGGAUCUGCUCCAGAGCUCUCCUUGUUCUGGGCCCCACGCAAAACUGACAGCCUCUUAAGUCACUCAACACAUUAGUGGGAGAAGUAUUCCUCAAUACAACUUAUCAUUCUCCAAAAUCCAAAGAGGCUCACUAAGCACUGUAUCUCCUUCUGAGUCCUAAAAUUCAUAGUGUAGUGGGAGGUGGACAGAAGUGCCAUUGAGUAUUGACUGCCUGGCACUGACACACGCUAAAAUAGAGGAAUAUACAGGAUGCCAUGGGAGUCCAGAUGAAGUGAAGAACCCACUCUUACUGGUGUGUGUGCACACAGGAGGAGGUAUGUAAUGCCUUGUCUGGUUUUCUGUCCUGGCACAUUCCCAUUCCUCAUUUCUAGAGCCACUUGACCACAAUGGCUGGUCAGGGAUAAUGUAAAGAAUCUUCAUUUGGCAGCUCAGAGGACUGCCCAGUCAACCUUCCCUUCCAUCCGUCUCCUGCUUUUGGGACCCAUCUCCUCUUGUACCCUAGACAUCUUUUCUACUUUCAUAUCUGUUGCAACUUCAAAGAUCCCUUGAAUCUCUCUUGCCUAACCCUCUUUGAGGUAAAUGCUACCUUCUUUUCUCUAUACCUGCUUUGGGAGAAGGGGAAAGUGUCUUAAUAUAUGCACUAAUUAGACCCCUUCAUGAUCUAAUGUCAGGCUUACAUUGUUUCCUUUCGUAAAUGAGCCCCGGGGGAAGUUAAGUAAUUUGUCAAAAUUCACACAACUAGAAAAGAAAAAAGAAAAAAGCAGGACAUUGAAUGUAGAGCCAAUAUUCAGAGUACCUGAUUUUUUUGUUUUUUUGAGACAGAGUCUUGCUCUGUCAUCAAGGCUAGAGUGCAGUGGCACGAUCU